UACGUAGGCAGCGAGCGUUGUUCGGAGUUACUGGGCGUAAAGCGUGCGCAGGCGGUGAGCUGUGUCCGAUGUGAAAGCCCCGGGCUUAACCUGGGAAUGGCAUUGGAAACUGGCUCGCUGGAGUGUGGCAGAGGGGGGUGGAAUUCCGCGUGUAGCAGUGAAAUGCGUAGAGAUGCGGAGGAACACCGAUGGCGAAGGCAGCCCCCUGGGCUAACACUGACGCUCAGGCACGAAAGCGUGGGGAGCAAACAGG
rnacentral:rRNA from 1 species